UAUGAUAAUUUUUAAAGCACGAGGAAACUGGCGUACCGUUCACCGCAUCCAAAUGAAUGCAUUGAAAUUUUGAAAUAAACAUUUAAAUAUAUUUUGCAUGGGUUUUCCUUAUUUUUUCCGUUAGUUGUUCAGCAUGCAGCGAUUGCAGAUGCGAUGAAGCGCACAAUGGUGUUGUGACUUUAUUUUGUAGUGUCUCAAUUACUGCCGUGCUAAGGAAAAACACCGUAUGAACAUUCGAGAGUUGCCAAAUUUCCCUUGAUAAAACAUGUACUUUUGACGAGAUUCAUGCACAUUUUUUUUUAAAUUUUCCGAUGUUUUAGAUUAAAUUGCGUACAAAAUUGUCUGAACAUUUUAGAAAAAAAUAUUCACAAUUUUCCUAGUAAAUUCAGUUUUUUAUCGAAGAAAUCUUGGCAACAUCUUAUUAACUCGGAAGGUUUAUACGGAGGUCUUUCUUAUAGUACGGCAGGGUAGAGCCCACGAUGGAAAUACCCGGAAAAAAUCGAGAAAAAAUAUAAUUAAUUUUUUAAAAAAAAAACUCCCUUCCAGUAUCAAAAGUGGCAGUAAAUUAAAGUAAUAAUUAGUAUAGACACUGGUGUAUAUGAUGGUUAUGCGCAAGUAACUCUUGAUAAGACACAUGACUCUUGGCCAUCGACGAAGGUUCGGGAAUGGAUACUGGAUAGUUGGAAAGUACAUCGGAUUAGCUGACAUUUUCGGUAUCCGAAAACCAUUGCGGCCACCCGUUUCUGUCGGAUAGUUCUUAUCCCGAAAUUCGAUUAUCCGGCACAUUCAACAAAACUGGUGCUUCC
rnacentral:lncRNA from 1 species